rnacentral:lncRNA from 1 species
CUAAGGAAGAGUAAGCUCUCCUGUCUCUUAUUUUCUCCAACCUAGUGGAAGGAAGCAUAGGUAUUAGAGAAAUCCCUUCAGUGUCUGGAACACAUCAGGCUGUAAGUGUAUACUCGCUGCAACUGAGCAUCAGGACCAGAAACAACAUGUGACCUUUGGUGAAAAGCCCACUUGCGUUGAUGUUAACAGUGACUGCCUUCAAGACUGUUAAUUUUAGCAAAUGGAUUGUGUUUGAGAGUAUCGUACAUCCUCAGAAGUCCUUUUGGCUCAUGAGUUGGGGAAGAUGGCUCAAAGUGCUUGGCCCAUAAGCAUGAAGAUCUGAUCUGGAUCCCUGUAAACAGCUGCAGCACAGGCUGUAACCCAAGCACUGGGGAGGCAGAGACAGGAAGAUCCCUGGGAUCGGCUGGCCACCUGGUGUAGCUUAGUCAGCAAGCUCCAUAUUCAGUGAGAGACCUCGCCUCGAA